UCACAGAGCAAGAGGCAAAGAUCAUGCCACAACUAGGAUCAGGGAACAACCUACAAAGGCCCACUCCUGUGAUGGACAUCUAUCUGAAGAUCCCAUAGUCUCCUAAAAUAGCUGCAUCCAUUGAGGAACAAGAAGCUAAUGAAUAGCUGGAAAUUUAUUGUGGCAGAAAGACAGUGGCUUCUGGCAAUUACAGUGAUGAGCAGAAACCCUCACAAAUGGGGACCUUGUUCAAUCAUCAUUAGAGAGACCUCCUCAAGCAGCUGAUGGGAGCAGAUCCAGAAACCUACAGCCAAACAUUAAGUGGAGAGGGAGGCCAAAUUGGAGUUCUUCACUGGGUUGGAGCUUGGCAACCUGGUGGAAGAGAGGAAGGAAGAAUUGUAGGAGCCAGAGGGAUUAAAGACACCAGAAGAACAUUGCAGACAGAAUCAACUAAGCAGGGUUUAAAGGGACUAACAGACUGAAUCAGCAGCAAUCGGGAGCCUGCAUGGUUCUGUGCUGCAUCUUCUGCAUAUAUGUCAUAGUUGUUAGCUUGGUGAUUCUGUGAGUCUCCUAAAAGGAUGUGUGGGUGUGUCUCUGACUCUUCUCUUGUCUGUUCUUAAGACGUUUUUCCUCCUACUGGGUUGCCUCACCCAGCCAUAAUAUGAGAGCUUGUGCCUAAUCUUAAUGUAUCUUUUUAUGCCAUGUUUGGUUGAUAUCCCUGGGAGGCUUGCUUUUUUUUUUUCUGAAGAGAAAUUGAGGAGGAGUGGAUUAGGAGCAGAUGGGAAGUAUGGGCAGGUGCUGGGAAGAAUUGAGGAAGGGGAAUCUUUAGUCAGGAUGUAUUGUACAAGAGAAGAGCAAAUUUAAAAUUAUAAAUUAAGAAAUAAAAAAGGACAAAAAUCUUUAGCUUUACAUACAAUCUAAAAUUAUGGGCAUUAGAUGAGUUGAGAUUUAUAGACUCUGAGUCAGUGUCUUGAAACUUCAAGUAACAGAAAAACUCUCUGGUUUGGAGAAAAUGUCCACAGCCACCAAGUGUUUUGACAAGAAGGGAAUAGCCGUGUGCAUUUAUGUAUUCUUGGACAACUUCUGGGUAUCAUUCUGCAGACUCCAGGGCCUAUUUUAAUGAGAUGGUGUCUUUCACUUGACUAGAAUGAACCAGCUCUAUGUGCUACAAACUGAACCGUGGAUUGUUCAUCAAGGUGAAGACCCAGGCUACUUCAAGGAUAGAGCAGAGAUGCAUCUGCAGACACGAACACAGAAAGAACAUAUAUGACUUUGGAGAUCAAAGUGCUAUCCACCACAUGACUGUAAGCAAUCAAGAACUGUCACCAAGUCCAAGCAAUGAAGAUAAGUAAUUCCCUGACCUGACUUUAAAGAAUUCAUUAUUUGAAGUAUAUCACCCUUAGAAGAAUCUCCGUUGUGAAACUCAAGUACCAAGAUCUAGUGGAGGAAAUGAGGUGUAAACAAUGAAGAAGACUCUAUCCACUAAGACUAUUUAAACUGCAGCAGAAGUUAAAGGCCUAUGGCACAUAACACCAGAAAUACUUUGUAGAGGAAGCCAAUUUCCCUCAUCUCAGCCAGGAAACAAAACAAGGAGCUCCAAGUGACCAGACACUCAAUGUCCUCUUUAAGAUAUCCUCACAGGGAAUAUUACUUUAGUUACCAGGAUGUUAAAAGCUCUUCAACCAUCCAAUUCCAGUUCUCACCUGCCCUAGAUGGAACCUGUGAGACUGUGUGAGCUCAUGGAAACAACCUCAAAAUUAUUCUAACAAUGAAAGUACAGAAUAACUGCUUGACCAUAACCCAUAGUUUACGUUUAGAGGAUUUUCAGAAAUCUUUGGAUCAUAGCCCAUAGUCUGGAACAGACUGACAUCCUGAGGACUGGGUUGAAGUGAGAAGACCCACUCUAAUGAGGAUGGCACCAAGUCCUACACUUAACAAAAGAGAGAAAACAAACUGAACAAUAGCAUCCCUCACUCUCUUCUUCUAGCUGCAGAAGAAUUGGAACCAGCUGUUUCAGCCUCUUGCCACCAUACCUACCCCAUCAUUAUGGACUGUAUCCUCACAUC